AAAAAAAAGGGAGAAAGGGAUUUUUCUCUCUGGGGAAGCCCAGAAACCGGUCAGGAAAGCCACCGCGCCGUCACAGCUCCACCGCGUCGGCCACCGUACACGGUGGCCGGAAAUCGCCUUAGGUAAAAAAAAUUUCUCUCUUUUUUUGUAUUUUAUUAUACGCAUACAUAGAUGAGUGUAAAUCUGAAGAUAAAAAGAAACGAGAAAAUAUUAGAGACCUUGACUUGUUUUGCCGUUGUUCUCUUCUUCUUUCUCUUUUUUGCUAGUAGCGUUUCCGAUUUUAGGGCGUUUAAAUUUCCCCUUUUUGAUGUUUGAUCUAUGCUACUUAUGAGGUUUUAGCUUUUGUAUAUUGGUUGUUGAAAUCUUUUUUUGAGAUUUUUCGAAUUUUACACUGCUCGGUAAAGAGAAAAGAAAAAAAGGCCUGUUUCUCAUCCUUGAUUUUGGCUUUUUAAAGCCGAUCUAUAAACAUUCAUUUCUUUUUUUGUUUCCGUUCUUUUGUUUAUUCUUUGCCCCAUUCCUCGCAUGCUUCCUUUUGCUGUUGUUUCUGUCUCUGUUGCAGGUGUGUCAGGUGUGGGUGGUGCACGUGAUGGCCAAGGGCAGAGGUAGCAUGGGGCGACCGAUCAGAGGCGUGCAUGCGUGAGGGGAGGUGAAGCGGCGGCAGCUACAAAGCAUGAGACUAGGGUUUUUUGUUUGGUUGAAAACUAGUAUAGUUUGGGCCAUUCGGGCCUCUAAGGUUUUUCAUUAUUGGGCAUUUGGAUUGGGUUUGUUUUUUGGGUUAAUUUUGUUGUAAUGGUCUGUUAAUUCUUUAUUGGUCUUGGUCUAUUUGGGUUUUAUGGUCUGGGCCCGGGCAAAAUUUUGGGCUUUACAUGGGACUUGAAACCAAGACCUCACACACGCACCCAAAACAUUUAGCCAUUAAAGCAGACACUCAUUUUUGUGCUAAGAUUUACAGAAACAGAAAUAAAUUAUUCAGGGCAUUACACAUACAAUGAAUAAGUUUGGUGGAAAUUGUACAUAAGUAUGUUGGUCUUACGACUCCAAUAAUUUAAAAGGUAAAUUACAUCUAAGGUC
rnacentral:lncRNA from 1 species